rnacentral:rRNA from 1 species
CGCGUGGGAAUCUACCUUUUGCUACGGAAUAACUCAGGGAAACUUGUGCUAAUACCGUAUGUGCCCUUCGGGGGAAAGAUUUAUCGGCAAAGGAUGAGCCCGCGUUGGAUUAGCUAGUUGGUGGGGUAAAGGCCCACCAAGGCGACGAUCCAUAGCUGGUCUGAGAGGAUGAUCAGCCACACUGGGACUGAGACACGGCCCAGACUCCUACGGGAGGCAGCAGUGGGGAAUAUUGGACAAUGGGCGCAAGCCUGAUCCAGCCAUGCCGCGUGAGUGAUGAAGGCCCUAGGGUUGUAAAGCUCUUUCACCGGUGAAGAUAAUGACGGUAACCGGAGAAGAAGCCCCGGCUAACUUCGUGCCAGCAGCCGCGGUAAUACGAAGGGGGCUAGCGUUGUUCGGAUUUACUGGGCGUAAAGCGCACGUAGGCGGACUUUUAAGUCAGGGGUGAAAUCCCAGAGCUCAACUCUGGAACUGCCUUUGAUACUGGAAGUCUUGAGUAUGGUAGAGGUGAGUGGAAUUCCGAGUGUAGAGGUGAAAUUCGUAGAUAUUCGGAGGAACACCAGUGGCGAAGGCGGCUCACUGGACCAUUACUGACGCUGAGGUGCGAAAGCGUGGGGAGCA